rnacentral:misc_RNA from 1 species
UGUGGGAGCUGGCUUGCCUGCGAUGAUAUCGCUGCGGUGUUACUGACAAACCGCGUCGUCUGCAUCGCAGGCAAGCCAGCUCCCACA